rnacentral:lncRNA from 1 species
AUGAACCAACUAAAGGGCCAAAUCUCAUGUACUCAGGUGUCCCUCUGUUGCAACCCUGCUUCAGCUAGGACUUGCAACCACCUUUACCCUUACCUUGAGGACCUGAGAAAAGAUGCAGAUGAAAGUCUCUUCACUGUUUGGUGUCUGAACAGGAGAGCACCAGCUGCACUGGAGGUAUGGGCCCCAAAUACUCAUGUGCUAAAAGUGCCUGAAAAUGUUCCCAGGCUCUGGCUGCUGGACCAGGGAACAGACCACAUUUUUGCUUAUAAAUUCCCUCACUCUCUGAAACUAGGUGGCUGCCUGAAAAUGUGCCUGUUGGAAAUCAUCCCAGGAAUAUUUGAACUCCCAAGCUGGCUUUGGAAAUUUUUUGAAAGAGUGUUAGAUGGCAUUGUCCAAAAGUGUGCCAGGACAUGCUCUGACAGUUUUGGGAAUGCCUCUAUUAGGAAAAGAGCCGAAUAAGAACAGAUCUGUGGAAGAAAGCGUCUGGUGCUAAGGAUUGCAUCCAAACUGACCUUCACACUGUGUAUUUCAGAGGGUUUUACUGUUAUUUUACUGUUGUUCAACUCUACUUUGCUCCUGUGUCCAUUAGCAAUCAAAGUGCAUUAGACGCCCUCUGAGACUGCUUCUGCAGGUUUAUUUUUAUCUGAAAGGAAUUCAUUUUGCACAUUCCAAACUUGAUCUGAACCAAAGAGCGGGAAGUAGGAACUACUGGGGGAUUUACUUCAAAAAUGCAUCCUGAUCUUAACUGUGAUGUUACCGCAGAUAUACCUACAACUGUGUCCCAAAGUCUGAGAACAUUCUCAAACACAGUUUAAUUUACCUUUUCACAAAGUUCAAUUGCACAUAAAAAUUGUGUGAGGCUUUGGCAGACUAAGUGUAAUUUGGAUUUUAAAUUUUAUUGCUAAAAUUGAGCAAAUCUUUGAUUGUUUGAACUGUCAUUUUUCAAGUGCUUAAAAUAAAUUUGGGAAACUUUGCA